GCGAGCUGCUCGGAGGAAGUACGAAAGAAGAACUGCUGCCUUCAAACUAAAUAGGAAAGUUACAAAUCAUUCAGUAUGCAUGGUCACAGUUGGGCUGGAACCCAUCCCAGCUGUCACAGGGCAAGAGGCAGGGCGCACACCCAGACAGAUCCAGCCCAUCACUGGUCUGAUGCAGAGCGGAGACAGCCAUUCAAGCUCACACCUACAGCCAAGUUAGAAUCACCAGUUAACCUUACCCCAAUCAUGUCUUUGGACUGUGGGAGGAAGUUGGAGCACCUGGUGAGAACCCAGGCAAUACAUGGAGAGCAUGCAGACUCCACACAUGAGAUUCAAACCCAUGACCUUGAUGUUAUGGUGCCAUCAAAUGCACCACAGUUUUUCCAAAAUUUCCACAAUUGGAGCACACACAAGAGGUUUAGUUAUUUCCAUAGAGUUUCAUUUGGAUUCAGGUCAGGUGAUUGGCUGCGUCAUUUUAGCAGCUUUAUUUUCUUUCUCUGAAACCAUUUGAGUUUCCCUGAUGGUGUGUUUGGGAUCAUCAUCUUGCUAAAACACCCCCCCCCCGCCUUGUUUCAUCUCCAUCAUCCUUGUAGAUGAAGCAGAUUUUUAAUCAAGAAUGUCUCACUAUAUUUUAACCAUUCAUUCUUCCUUCAAUUAUAUGAAGUGUGCCAGUACCAUAUGCUGAGAAACCACCCCACACCAUGAUGUUCCCACCUCCAAACUUCAUUGUUUGUAUGGUGUUGUUGAGGUGAUAAGCAGUGUCUUUUGACCUCCAGACAUGGUGUGUAUUAUGGCAUAUGAAGAGUUCAAUUUUUGUCUCAUCUGACCAGACUAUUCUCCCAGUAUUUCACAGGCUCAUUUAACAGAUGUUCAACAAAUUUUAAAUGCGCUUCAGCAAGCUUUUUCUUCAGCAAUGGAGUCUUGUGUGGUGAGCGUGAAUACAGGCCAUGACGGUUGAGUAGAUUACUUAUUUUCUUUGAAACACUUGCUGAUUCCGGUUUUUCUGUACCUUUCUUUGCAUUCAAUACUUUUUCCCUGUUUGAAAUGUUACCAACAUCUGGUAAGAAUUUCAUGUCAAUAGCACCUUUAGAAUUAUUAUUAUUAUUAUUUCUUAACUGAAAUCGGUGAUGCUUUCAAUACUUAUUUUACCUGCUGUGUCUAUUUGGGAAUCCAGCCAUUUGCUGAGCAUAAACAGGUGCUCAUGUCCUUUCUGGAGGUUCAAACUGCAAAAUUUAAGACUUAUUUAUUGGCAUGAAUGAACUGAGCCACAAUCAGCAGGAUUUCUGCAUUAUACAGAUUGGAUGGAGCCCACCAUUUUUCCUAAAACAGAACUGAAGCAUUUUAUGAGAACAUGUCGUGUGUUCGAAGAGGUCAUGUGCAGGUGUUAUUUAGUACCAUCGUGUACUCUGUUGGUACAGUGUUGAUGUAUUUGCCCUGUGAAGAACAAAGCCUGAGGCGUGUGCAGUCCAAGCGUGUGAAUGCUUGCAUGUGAAAACGUGUUGAGCGUGUUAUAUAUUAGUGAGUGCAUGUGUGGCGUGGUGUGCAGCUGACAGUGAGAGCAGUAAAAAUUUAACCUCCACUGCUGGUAGACGAGCUCCACAGCAGCACCUUAUUAGUUUCUUAAAACUGUCUCACGCAGAGGGAGGGCGCUUUUCAUUACACGAGAUUAAAUCACAUCAAAUGCCUCAGCAGCAUGUCCUCCAGCCAAAAGCCACCCCCCUUUAAAAAUAGACAAACGCACUUCAGAAAAGAUUUACUCGUCUUGUUUGGUGGCGGUUUGACAACAUGUUCUAUGUUCCAGCCGCACGGCCGGGAUGUCACAGCGUGUGGGAGUGAGAGAACACGCGGGGCGAAUGUCUUUGGACGUUGCCCUUUUUCCUGAUUCCACACCCACCUCCUUUUCACCAGCUCCCGACAUGUUCUGAAGCAGAGCUGCUUUGCACCCGUCACGGCCGAUAACGGGCGAAGACUGGCUGAAUGUGGCACCGCGGGAUCCGCAGUGACAGCCGAGGUAGGAAGAGGGAGACUGUCGACGACAUCUUGCUUGGAGUAAAAAAACCCCCCACAAAAAACAAAACCCAGCAUGAUACCAAUUUAGCAGCAGAAAACAUUAAAUCUAUUGUGAUUUCUCUUCUACUACUAGAGCUGUUGCACAAGAGAAGCUUAAAAAAAAAGAGAAUAUUGUUGAAUAUACUGUUCAUAAAUUAUGUUUAUUUUCAUACAUUAUGUUUUAUGUUCAUUCCAUAAGCAAAUUUAAAUCUUCUUCUGGGAGCAAGAAUUUGUCUUGAGGAAGGAAACCCUGCACGCCUGGAGCACCAUGAGUUUUGUAUAGUCUUAUAUGUACAAUUACAUACACUCAGUACUGUUUUUGCUUACAGUAAGCAAUACUGUACAUAACCCACGCAUA